AAGAAGAGAAGAAAAGAAGAACAAAAAGAGGUAGCCAUUCUAGACCCCUCCCUUACAUUCUAACUCUCCUUUUUUUUUUUUUUUUUUUUUUUUUUUUUUUC
rnacentral:ribozyme from 1 species